AUUGAACGCUGGCGGCAGGCCUAACACAUGCAAGUCGAACGGUAACAGGAAGAAGCUUGCUUCUUUGCUGACGAGUGGCGGACGGGUGAGUAAUGUCUGGGAAACUGCCUGAUGGAGGGGGAUAACUACUGGAAACGGUAGCUAAUACCGCAUAACGUCGCAAGACCAAAGAGGGGGACCUUCGGGCCUCUUGCCAUCGGAUGUGCCCAGAUGGGAUUAGCUAGUAGGUGGGGUAACGGCUCACCUAGGCGACGAUCCCUAGCUGGUCUGAGAGGAUGACCAGCCACACUGGAACUGAGACACGGUCCAGACUCCUACGGGAGGCAGCAGUGGGGAAUAUUGCACAAUGGGCGCAAGCCUGAUGCAGCCAUGCCUCGUGUAUGAAGAAGGCCUUCGGGUUGUAAAGUACUUUCAGCGGGGAGGAAGGGAGUAAAGUUAAUACCUUUACUCAUUGACGUUACCCGCAGAAGAAGCACCGGCUAACUCCGUG
rnacentral:rRNA from 1 species